UACGUAGGGUGCGAGCGUUAAUCGGAAUUACUGGGCGUAAAGUGUGCGCAGGCGGCCGAGCAAGUCGAGUGUGAAAGCCCCGAGCUUAACUUGGGAACUGCGCUCGAAACUACUUGGCUGGAGUGUGGCAGAGGAAGGUGGAAUUCCACGUGUAGCGGUGAAAUGCGUAGAGAUGUGGAGGAACACCGAUGGCGAAGGCAGCCUUCUGGGCCAACACUGACGCUCAUGCACGAAAGCGUGGGGAGCAAACAGGAUUG
rnacentral:rRNA from 1 species